rnacentral:misc_RNA from 1 species
CAAAUAUCAAUAUAAAAGAGUUAAAUCUUAAAUUUAAGAUGAUGAAACUCACAUAUUUAUGAGUGCGAUGUUGGUGUAUAUGUAUUAAGAACACUCAAUAAUUAGGAAGUAAGAACAUGUGAAAGGACAACACUAAAGAAACACAUCCUGUAGAUAGACUUUCACAAUAUGUUCAACCUUUGACACUGCUGUUAGAUAACGAUUCUUGUAAUUUUAUUCUGGAGAAUGGCUUUAAAAUCGGAGGAUAUUUAGCUAUCAACUUGGAAGAAACUUGUUGCAUAGUUGGUCGAGAUUGGGGAUUGGUAUGCAAGCAUGAAAGUGCUAAUGCAGUAAUGUAGGCCACACCCUCUGCAAUUUGAUUUCCGGGAAGUGGAAGUCGUGGGUCUAGCACAUCCUUUAACAAUGUGUGCUGAUAGAUUGGCGAAGACCAAAGAGAUGAGAUGAGAUCGCCUGGAUGCUUUCCCAUUAUUAUCUCCAACGCCACCACUCCAAAGCUGUAAACAUCGCAUUUUUCAUUCACUUGCAUUGUG